UACCAGCUGGCUGCAACUGUUUAUUAAAAACACAGCACUGUGCAAACACGAAAGUGGACGUAUACGGUGUGACGCCUGCCCGGUGCCGGAAGGUUAAUUGAUGGGGUCAGCGCAAGCGAAGCUCCUGAUCGAAGCCCCGGUAAACGGCGGCCGUAACUAUAACGGUCCUAAGGUAGCGAAAUUCCUUGUCGGGUAAGUUCCGACCUGCACGAAUGGCGUAAUGAUGGCCAGGCUGUCUCCACCCGAGACUCAGUGAAAUUGAACUCGCUGUGAAGAUGCAGUGUACCCGCGGCAAGACGGAAAGACCCCGUGAACCUUUACUAUAGCUUGACACUGAACAUUGAGCCUUGAUGUGUAGGAUAGGUGGGAGGCUUUGAAGUGUGGACGCCAGUCUGCAUGGAGCCGACCUUGAAAUACCACCCUUUAAUGUUUGAUGUUCUAACGUGGACCCGUAAUCCGGGUUGCGGACAGUGUCUGGUGGGUAGUUUGACUGGGGCGGUCUCCUCCUAAAGAGUAACGGAGGAGCACGAAGGUUGGCUAAUCCUGGUCGGACAUCAGGAGGUUAGUGCAAUGGCAUAAGCCAGCUUGACUGCGAGCGUGACGGCGCGAGCAGGUGCGAAAGCAGGUCAUAGUGAUCCGGUGGUUCUGAAUGGAAGGGCCAUCGCUCAACGGAUAAAAGGUACUCCGGGGAUAACAGGCUGAUACCGCCCAAGAGUUCAUAUCGACGGCGGUGUUUGGCACCUCGAUGUCGGCUCAUCACAUCCUGGGGCUGAAGUAGGUCCCAAGGGUAUGGCUGUUCGCCAUUUAAAGUGGUACGCGAGCUGGGUUUAGAACGUCGUGAGACAGUUCGGUCCCUAUCUGCCGUGGGCGCUGGAGAACUGAGGGGGGCUGCUCCUAGUACGAGAGGACCGGAGUGGACGCAUCACUGGUGUUCGGGUUGUCAUGCCAAUGGCACUGCCCGGUAGCUAAAUGCGGAAGAGAUAAGUGCUGAAAGCAUCUAAGCACGAAACUUGCCCCGAGAUGAGUUCUCCCUGAGACUUUAGGUCUCCUGAAGGAACGUUGAAGACGACGACGUUGAUAGGCCGGGUGUGUAAGCGCAGCGAUGCGUUGAGCUAACCGGUACUAAUGAACCGUGAGGCUUAACCUU
rnacentral:rRNA from 3 species